AACGAACGCUGGCGGCAGGCUUAACACAUGCAAGUCGAACGCCCCGCAAGGGGAGUGGCAGACGGGUGAGUAACACGUGGGAACGUGCCCUAAGGUUUGGAAUAUUCCCGGGAAACUGGGAGCAAUACCAAAUGUGUCCGUAAGGAGAAAGAUUUAUCGCCUUAGGAUCGACCCGCGUAAGAUUGGGUAGUUGGUGGGGUAAAAAACUACCAAGCCGGAGAUCUGUAGCUGGUCUGAGAGGACGACCAGCGACAAUGGGAUUGGUACAAGGCCCAGACUCCUACGGGAGGCAGCAGUGGGGAAUCUUGGACAAUGGGCGAAAGCCUGAACCAGCCAUGCCGCGUGGAAGAUGAAGGCCCUAGGGUUGUAAAAUCCUUUCGUUGGGGACGAUAAUGACGGUACCCAAAGAAGAAGCUCCGGCUAACUUCGUGCCAGCCGCCGCCGUAAUAC
rnacentral:rRNA from 1 species